GGGUUGUGAGGUUAAGCGACUAAGCGUACACGGUGGAUGCCCUGGCAGUCAGAGGCGAUGAAGGACGUGCUAAUCUGCGAUAAGCGUCGGUAAGGUGAUAUGAACCGUUAUAACCGGCGAUUUCCGAAUGGGGAAACCCAGUGUGUUUCGACACACUAUCAUUAACUGAAUCCAUAGGUUAAUGAGGCGAACCGGGGGAACUGAAACAUCUAAGUACCCCGAGGAAAAGAAAUCAACCGAGAUUCCCCCAGUAGCGGCGAGCGAACGGGGAGCAGCCCAGAGCCUGAAUCAGUAUGUGUGUUAGUGGAAGCGUCUGGAAAGGCGCGCGAUACAGGGUGACAGCCCCGUACACAAAAAUGCACAUAUUGUGAGCUCGAUGAGUAGGGCGGGACACGUGGUAUCCUGUCUGAAUAUGGGGGGACCAUCCUCCAAGGCUAAAUACUCCUGACUGACCGAUAGUGAACCAGUACCGUGAGGGAAAGGCGAAAAGAACCCCGGCGAGGGGAGUGAAAAAGAACCUGAAACCGUGUACGUACAAGCAGUGGGAGCACGCUUAGGCGUGUGACUGCGUACCUUUUGUAUAAUGGGUCAGCGACUUAUAUUCUGUAGCAAGGUUAACCGAAUAGGGGAGCCGAAGGGAAACCGAGUCUUAACUGGGCGUUAAGUUGCAGGGUAUAGACCCGAAACCCGGUGAUCUAGCCAUGGGCAGGUUGAAGGUUGGGUAACACUAACUGGAGGACCGAACCGACUAAUGUUGAAAAAUUAGCGGAUGACUUGUGGCUGGGGGUGAAAGGCCAAUCAAACCGGGAGAUAGCUGGUUCUCCCCGAAAGCUAUUUAGGUAGCGCCUCGUGAAUUCAUCUCCGGGGGUAGAGCACUGUUUCGGCAAGGGGGUCAUCCCGACUUACCAACCCGAUGCAAACUGCGAAUACCGGAGAAUGUUAUCACGGGAGACACACGGCGGGUGCUAACGUCCGUCGUGAAGAGGGAAACAACCCAGACCGCCAGCUAAGGUCCCAAAGUCAUGGUUAAGUGGGAAACGAUGUGGGAAGGCCCAGACAGCCAGGAUGUUGGCUUAGAAGCAGCCAUCAUUUAAAGAAAGCGUAAUAGCUCACUGGUCGAGUCGGCCUGCGCGGAAGAUGUAACGGGGCUAAACCAUGCACCGAAGCUGCGGCAGCGACGCUUAUGCGUUGUUGGGUAGGGGAGCGUUCUGUAAGCCUGCGAAGGUGUGCUGUGAGGCAUGCUGGAGGUAUCAGAAGUGCGAAUGCUGACAUAAGUAACGAUAAAGCGGGUGAAAAGCCCGCUCGCCGGAAGACCAAGGGUUCCUGUCCAACGUUAAUCGGGGCAGGGUGAGUCGACCCCUAAGGCGAGGCCGAAAGGCGUAGUCGAUGGGAAACAGGUUAAUAUUCCUGUACUUGGUGUUACUGCGAAGGGGGGACGGAGAAGGCUAUGUUGGCCGGGCGACGGUUGUCCCGGUUUAAGCGUGUAGGCUGGUUUUCCAGGCAAAUCCGGAAAAUCAAGGCUGAGGCGUGAUGACGAGGCACUACGGUGCUGAAGCAACAAAUGCCCUGCUUCCAGGAAAAGCCUCUAAGCAUCAGGUAACAUCAAAUCGUACCCCAAACCGACACAGGUGGUCAGGUAGAGAAUACCAAGGCGCUUGAGAGAACUCGGGUGAAGGAACUAGGCAAAAUGGUGCCGUAACUUCGGGAGAAGGCACGCUGAUAUGUAGGUGAAGCGACUUGCUCGUGGAGCUGAAAUCAGUCGAAGAUACCAGCUGGCUGCAACUGUUUAUUAAAAACACAGCACUGUGCAAACACGAAAGUGGACGUAUACGGUGUGACGCCUGCCCGGUGCCGGAAGGUUAAUUGAUGGGGUCAGCGCAAGCGAAGCUCUUGAUCGAAGCCCCGGUAAACGGCGGCCGUAACUAUAACGGUCCUAAGGUAGCGAAAUUCCUUGUCGGGUAAGUUCCGACCUGCACGAAUGGCGUAAUGAUGGCCAGGCUGUCUCCACCCGAGACUCAGUGAAAUUGAACUCGCUGUGAAGAUGCAGUGUACCCGCGGCAAGACGGAAAGACCCCGUGAACCUUUACUAUAGCUUGACACUGAACAUUGAGCCUUGAUGUGUAGGAUAGGUGGGAGGCUUUGAAGUGUGGACGCCAGUCUGCAUGGAGCCGACCUUGAAAUACCACCCUUUAAUGUUUGAUGUUCUAACGUGGACCCGUGAUCCGGGUUGCGGACAGUGUCUGGUGGGUAGUUUGACUGGGGCGGUCUCCUCCUAAAGAGUAACGGAGGAGCACGAAGGUUGGCUAAUCCUGGUCGGACAUCAGGAGGUUAGUGCAAUGGCAUAAGCCAGCUUGACUGCGAGCGUGACGGCGCGAGCAGGUGCGAAAGCAGGUCAUAGUGAUCCGGUGGUUCUGAAUGGAAGGGCCAUCGCUCAACGGAUAAAAGGUACUCCGGGGAUAACAGGCUGAUACCGCCCAAGAGUUCAUAUCGACGGCGGUGUUUGGCACCUCGAUGUCGGCUCAUCACAUCCUGGGGCUGAAGUAGGUCCCAAGGGUAUGGCUGUUCGCCAUUUAAAGUGGUACGCGAGCUGGGUUUAGAACGUCGUGAGACAGUUCGGUCCCUAUCUGCCGUGGGCGCUGGAGAACUGAGGGGGGCUGCUCCUAGUACGAGAGGACCGGAGUGGACGCAUCACUGGUGUUCGGGUUGUCAUGCCAAUGGCACUGCCCGGUAGCUAAAUGCGGAAGAGAUAAGUGCUGAAAGCAUCUAAGCACGAAACUUGCCCCGAGAUGAGUUCUCCCUGACCCUUUAAGGGUCCUGAAGGAACGUUGAAGACGACGACGUUGAUAGGCCGGGUGUGUAAGCGCAGCGAUGCGUUGAGCUAACCGGUACUAAUGAACCGUGAGGCUUAACCUUACAACGCCGAAG
rnacentral:rRNA from 1 species